UCCGGGACUUUGCAGGCGCUACAGUGGCACAGAGGCCCUGGAUGCUGGUGGAGCAGAGCUGGGAAGUCUCAGUCCUUUUGGUCCUCUCAGGCUUCCCACUUGAGACAGCUCUGGGGGAAUUUCCCGCCUGUGUUUUCCCAGGCCCUGGGACACAUGAGUGGAACUUCAAUUCCUCCUGGUCAAAUUCUGACUUUCGCCAGCGAGGGACAGGAUGGUGGCUAGGAGUCAGAGGGGAGAGAGGCUUCCUCUGCGAACGCUUUUGUCAACCCAAUGGCCCAAGACACUGGGGUGUGGAUCUGAAGUCCCCUCUUUUAUCCAUGACUCCCUACGCCUGGAUGCAGGAAGUGCCUCGGCUCUGUGGCCUGGGGUGACAGAUGCCAGCUAUUACUUUACCAAGGCUCCUCUAACUCCUGCCUUGACCUCAGAGCAGCCGCCGGGAGGAGGUCCCGGUAAUUGGUUUCAUCCAACCCUCAUCUUCAGUGGUGUGAAAGGGAAAGUUAUAAAUAUUUUUUAUCUAUAACUCAGGACGAAUAAAAAUUUAAUUACACUGAAAAAUUUAAAUUUCAUAAGAAAUAAAUAUUAAUCUUGGAGAGUGA